rnacentral:misc_RNA from 1 species
GUACUCUCACACUCUCCAAUCCUUUGGAUCCGGGGAGUGGUGGACUUGGGCGUCUGCUGCUUGACUGUGGCUCGCUUUAAAUGGAUUAGUGCAACUCUUGGUUGGACAUAGUACGGCGUGAUAAGUGUCUUCGCCGGCGCCUUGAAAGAGGGUGGCUGAUCGGGAGCUCUGUGCUUCUUAAACUGUCUUCGGACAAUAUCUGACA